AUAAAAAAAAAAAUCAAGCACAUUUAGUAUUAUGUGCUGAAUGCCCCCAAAUAAACAGGGUUAGAUGAGCAUUCAGACCUCAUGUAAAAAACUAGGAGAAAAAACUGGCACCGAAUGUGUACUUUGAUUCUCGUUACUCUCAUGAUACAGAGUCUUUGCUACCAGCACUGUAGCGAGUGGGUUCCUGACGAUUACUGCCUCUCAUUGCUUCCAGAAGGCAGACUGACGAUGGAGGAGCGGGAGAAAUACGAUUCCUUUCAACGGUGUAUUUCUAAACAUCCAUAAGAAACCUGGCAAAAGCUAGGUACUGAUGUGAGGAGGAAAUGCAGGCCCCAAGUUUAAACCACUGACUAAAGGGCACCUCCUCCAACCUUAGUCCCUCAGCAAGCGACUGCAAGAAGUUUUCAAGGAAGCCAAGGAAGAGAGCAGAAUCACAGCAGAAACUACAGCAGACCACUCAUCUAAAAGAGUUUGCCCUACUGAAGAGGGGGAAGCACUGACCCUCCAUGCAAACAGACUGCCGCAAGCAAUCUACACUGCGGUCCUCAGGGUAAGACACCUUUACCACAGGUUCAAUAGAACACAGCUCUGGUUUGUCCCUGCCUCUCUUUAAGUAUAAAGAACUUGAAUGCUACUGAAUUAACAAGACACCUGUACCAAACCUUUUCAACUAUUCAAGCCAAACAACUCUAAUAAAAUCAGAAAGCAUUUCCAGCAUUUUUUUCACAUGUGUACAAUGCUGGCUGUACACGAGUUACUAAACUGAAGACACCUUGCAGUCAAAAAUCUUACUGGAAUGCAACAAACAAAAGCAACGUUAUUUAAAUGUUGUUUUACUGCAAAUGUUAACAGUGGAUGCUCACAGCUAAUGAGA